rnacentral:rRNA from 1 species
CAAUAGCGUAUAUUAAAGUUGUUGCAGUUAAAAAGCUCGUAGUUGGAUUUGUGGCGUACGGUGUGUUCCGGGCACUUGUUGUCUGAGUAACCUGCUGUUGCCCUCCUUGGGUGGAACCUGUGUGGCAUUAGGUUGUCGUGCAGGGGAUGCCCAUCAUUUACUGUGAAAAAAUUAGAGUGUUCAAAGCAGGCUUAUGCCGUUGAAUAUAUUAGCAUGGAAUAAUGAGAUAGGACUUUUUUGCUAUUUUGUUGGUUUGCGCAAAGAGGUAAUGAUUAAUAGGGACAGUUGGGGGUAUUCGUAUUCCAUUGUCAGAGGUGAAAUUCUUGGAUUUUUGGAAGACGAACUACUGCGAAAGCAUUUACCAAGGAUGUUUUCAUUAA